rnacentral:rRNA from 1 species
UCGGAUGAAGAUCUAGGUGACUGAGUGGCGGACGGGUGAGUAACGCGUGGGUAACCUGCCUCAUACAGGGGGAUAACAGUUAGAAAUGACUGCUAAUACCGCAUAAGACCACAGCACCGCAUGGUGCAGGGGUAAAAACUCCGGUGGUAUGAGAUGGACCCGCGUCUGAUUAGGUAGUUGGUGGGGUAACGGCCUACCAAGCCGACGAUCAGUAGCCGACCUGAGAGGGUGACCGGCCACAUUGGGACUGAGACACGGCCCAAACUCCUACGGGAGGCAGCAGUGGGGAAUAUUGCACAAUGGGGGAAACCCUGAUGCAGCGACGCCGCGUGAGCGAUGAAGUAUUUCGGUAUGUAAAGCUCUAUCAGCAGGGAAGAAAAUGACGGUACCUGACUAAGAAGCACCGGCUAAAUACGUGCCAGCAGCCGCGGUAAUACGUAUGGUGCAAGCGUUAUCCGGAUUUACUGGGUGUAAAGGGAGCGUAGACGGAGUGGCAAGUCUGAUGUGAAAACCCGGGGCUCAACCCCGGGACUGCAUUGGAAACUGUCAAUCUAGAGUACCGGAGAGGUAAGCGGAAUUCCUAGUGUAGCGGUGAAAUGCGUAGAUAUUAGGAGGAACACCAGUGGCGAAGGCGGCUUACUGGACGGUAACUGACGUUGAGGCUCGAAAGCGUGGGGAGCAAACAGGAUUAGAUACCCUGGUAGUCCACGCCGUAAACGAUGACUACUA